rnacentral:tRNA from 1 species
GCCAGUGUGGCAUAGUGGUUUGAGUGUUGGACUAUGACUGUAGAGACCAGGGUUUGAUUCCCUGCUUGGCCA